CCUACGGGUGGCAGCAGUGAGGAAUAUUGGUCAAUGGACGAGAGUCUGAACCAGCCAAGUAGCGUGAAGGAUGACUGCCCUAUGGGUUGUAAACUUCUUUUAUAUGGGAAUAAAAUGUUCCACGUGUGGGAUUUUGUAUGUACCUUAUGAAUAAGGAUCGGCUAACUCCGUGCCAGCAGCCGCGGUAAUACGGAGGAUCCGAGCGUUAUCCGGAUUUAUUGGGUUUAAAGGGAGCGUAGGUGGAUUGUUAAGUCAGUUGUGAAAGUUUGCGGCUCAACCGUAAAAUUGCAGUUGAAACUGGCAGUCUUGAGUACAGUAGAGGUGGGCGGAAUUCGUGGUGUAGCGGUGAAAUGCUUAGAUAUCACGAAGAACUCCGAUUGCGAAGGCAGUUCACUGGACUGCAACUGACACUGAGGCUCGAAAGUGUGGGUAUCAAACAGGAUUAGAUACCCGUGUAGUC
rnacentral:rRNA from 1 species